AUUGGGGUUCGAUUUAGUAGAAUGACGUUGGCGGUCCAGCGCAGUCAUCCUCCCAUCACCAGGGGCCUGGACCAUAGUCGGAAUCAACAGCUACACCAAGGUGUGUUGCGUUCAGGACAUGGAUUGAAUAAUACCUGACCAUGGCUUAAAAUUUUUACUCCAAGACGACCAACGUUAAACGACAUGAUCUUAAUUUCUCGUAUGGCCAAAGCCCUGUCCUCGAUGUACACGCCCGUAAAUGCUUUUUCACGUGAUGCCUCAGUGUCAGUGUUAGUCUGAUUCUUCAUGAAAGCAUUGUAAGUGUAAACUAUGUACAGUGUCGUGCAAAAUAAAAAAACUUCCAUGGAAAGUUUUCCAAACUCUUUAAUAGUUUAUUGUCGGACUGUGUACGAGGGAUAGGUGAAAAGUAACCAAAGAUAUCGCUGUAUAUGCCAUCCCAAGGUAUUUGAAUGCCAUCCCAAUAGUAAAAUGCGUUGUACGUACAUUUACAGUGUUGCUACUAAUUUUUCACGUCUAAUUACCUUUUAAUCCUUGAUAGUAUUGAUAGAAUUGGGAGACAUUUUAAUUUGGUAUAAUUAUAGAAGGGAAUUAUACGAAAUCCAACGUUGGUGGAUCAAGGAUAAGUACAGCACACACCAUUCACAGAAUAAAGCAAGAACAAAAGACGACAAAAAGCGUAGGGCCUACGCCAUUCCUAAAACAACGGUGAAAAUAUAAUCCGUCCGUCUUCUUUAUAUAAUUAUCUCGUGAUCAAUAAAAGAAAACAAAUCACAGCCUUCACUGA